rnacentral:lncRNA from 1 species
AACUAUACCAGCAUUUUCAUAUUUCUCUUUCUGUUUCUAAAGCCUUUGAAAAUGUAUGUAGUUUUAUAAAUUAAUUUUUGUAAUUUCAAAUCAUACAUUAAUUUACAUUUUUUUUCUAGAUUAUGACUUGCAGGUGGGCAUUGUGGAAGCUUUAUGUAGAAUGACCACAGAAAAACAAAGACAAGAACUGGCAUGUCAGUGGUUUUCAAUGGAUUUUAUUGCUAAUGCAUUUAAAGGAAUUAAAGACUCUGAAUUUGAAACAGGUUUUUACAUUUCCUUGUUUGUCAGCAUUUCUUGAUAAAU